GUCAAGUGAAGAAGCGCAUACGGUGGAUGCCUUGGCAGUCAGAGGCGAUGAAAGACGUGACAGCCUGCGAAAAGCGUCGGGGAGGCGGCAAUAUCCUGUGAUCCGGCGAUAUCUGAAUGGGGAAACCCACUUGUCAUAAGACAGGUAUCGUAAAUUUAUUUACGAGGCAAACCGGGAGAAGUGAAACAUCUCAGUAACCCGAGGAAAAGACAUCAAUAGAGAUUCCCCUAGUAGCGGCGAGCGAACGGGGAGGAGCCGACUGAUUAUAAUUUAGAGGAAUGACUUGGAAAGGUCAAUCGUAGAGGGUGAUAAUCCCGUACUCGAAAGGUUAUAAGAAGCAUAUUAAGUAGGGCGGAACACGAGAAAUUCUGUCUGAAGAUGGGGGGACCAUCCUCCAAGGCUAAAUACUCCUGACUGACCGAUAGUGAACCAGUACCGUGAGGGAAAGGCGAAAAGAACCCCGGGAGGGGAGUGAAAUAGAUCCUGAAACCGCAUGCAUACAAGCAGUGGGAGCCGGCUUAGUCCGGUGACUGCGUACCUUUUGUAUAAUGGGUCAGCGACUUAUAUUCUGUAGCAAGGUUAACCGAAUAGGGGAGCCGUAGGGAAACCGAGUCUUAAUAGGGCGUCUAGUUGCAGGGUGUAGACCCGAAACCGGGUGAUCUAUCCAUGAGCAGGUUGAAAGUGACGUAACAGUUACCGGAGGACCGAACCCACUGUCUUUGAAAAGCCAGGGGAUGACUUGUGGAUAGGGGUGAAAGGCUAAUCAAACUCGGUGAUAGCUGGUUCUCCCCGAAAGCUAUUUAGGUAGCGCCUCGGACGAACACCAUUGGGGGUAGAGCACUGUUUCGGCUAGGGGGUCAUCCCGACUUACCAAACCGAUGCAAACUCCGAAUACCGAUGAGUGAUAUCCGGGAGACAGACGGCGGGUGCUAACGUCCGUCGUCAAGAGGGAAACAACCCAGACCGCCAGCUAAGGUCCCUAAAUCAUCGCUAAGUGGUAAACGAUGUGGAAAGUCAUAGACAGCCAGGAUGUUGGCU
rnacentral:rRNA from 1 species